rnacentral:rRNA from 1 species
UACGUAGGGGGCAAGCGUUUGUCCGGAUUUAUUGGGCGUAAAGCGCGUGUAGGCGGCCACACAGGUCCGCUGUGAAAACUCGGGGCUCAACCUCGAGCUGUCGGUGGAAACCGUGUGGCUAGAGUCCGGAAGAGGAGACUGGAAUUCCCGGUGUAGCGGUGGAAUGCGCAGAUAUCAGGAGGAACACCAAUAGCGAAGGCAGCUCGCUGGGACGUUACUGACACUGAGGCGCGAAAGCGUGGGGAGCGAACAGGAU